CCCGGUACAGGUACCUAAUUACCUGUGUAGAUAUUGUAUAAGGAGACAAUGGGCAAAAUGGACAACAGAGGAAAUGGAGGAAAUCGAAGACGUCGCUUCAAAGAACUUCAACGGUGUGCCAUUGAGAUCCGAUUUAUAUUUGACCACAUAGACAUUAUGAGAACCAGGGCUAUGCAUCUUUUGAACAAAUUUGAAUUGCGAGAUGACUCGGAAGCCACAAGACGAUUGAUUGCCGAUAAAAUGGUAAAAAAGUUCAUCAAAAAUGUCCUCAAUAGACACGGAGUAGAGGCAGAUGAGCGUUUUACACUUGCUACUCAGGUGCUUUCAACUAGUAUCAGGGGAGAAAGGCUACGAAGGGACAUAUUUUUGUGGUGAAGUGCGAAAACAGCAUGUGAAUCGUUAAGGCAGAGAUAUAUGUGACUGAUGAUUUUAGAAAAGUUUCAAUUGAAGUUUUCUAUUUGGUGGUAUCUAAUGUUAUUAUACAUAAAUGUGUUAGAAAUAAAUUUUUCAUUCAUUCA